CUGUAUUUACCCAUGGACAGUUUUAUGUUACCAUGUCUCGAUUGACAACACCAGAAGGCUUAAAAUAUUAGACGAAAGCUCCUAUAAAGACGGUGAGAAGCUGACUUGAGCAGGUCUUCUGUGUUUGAAGCUUCUUUGAGAGCCACUCUGGCUAGACUAAACUCCAGCUUGUCUAUUUCACUAUUUGGCACAAAUCUGGAUCAGAACCUGUCACAUUUGACAAGUGAACAAACAGCUGGAGAUUUGUCUACGGCUGGACGAUCUUCCCUGGAUGUGGCAGCUAUUCGGUUGGUUGAUGUUCCGGAGAAGGCUCGCAAACUCCUAAACCUGUUGGAACAGUCAAAAGAUCCAAGGUUCCACGCACUGCCUUUGGCAUCUCAGAGAGUAGCUGCGUUUGCGGACACAGUGAACAAACUUGUAUAUGACAUCCUCAUAUCAAAAGUCAGGCAAAGACUCGGGGAAGUAUCUCGCCUACCAAUCUGGUCUUCUGUGGAGGAAUAAACUGCGUUUGCUCUACCAAACUUCAGCUCAUACCCUCAGGCUUACGUUACAAGCGUUGGAUAAUAUCUCCUGACUUUACCUCAGCAGCUUGAGCCUCUAGCUGAAGAAAUCUCAACCAAUGGUGAUUCAAACAACGAGGACGCACAGUUCUUUGCAACCGAGUGGAUAUUCAAGGUAGCAGAAGGCGCAACGGCUCUGUACAUGGAGCAACUGAGAGGAAUCCAAUACAUUUCAGACCGAGGAGCACAGCAACUGUGUGUAGAUAUAGAGUACUUGAGCAAUGUGCUUGCAGCCUUGUCCAUGCCGAUUCUGCCUGUGCUUGCAACUUUCCAGACGUGUUUGGCUACACCAAGAGAUGAGCUCAAAGAUGUGAUGAAAUCAGACGCUGGUAGUGAACUUGAUUUCCCUACGGCUAAUCUUGUUUGUAAGAUGCGUCGUGUCAGUUUCGAUUAGUCUCUGAACUCUCAAAAACAUGCUUUUGUGCCCUACGAAGAGGACCUGCUAACUAAUUUGUUCGGCUGGCCAUUGUCAUAUUUGUAUUACACAUUUCCAAGUUUUGAUGCUAUCAUAGGACAAGUUUCUUUGUUUUCUUAAUAUAAUGUAAUAAAGUUAUACCCCCAUCUGUUUUAAACAAGGAAGUUUUUGAUGUUUAAAAAUAGAAGAUGUUUCCAUUUUUUCAA